rnacentral:rRNA from 1 species
UACGAAGGGGGCUAGCGUUGCUCGGAAUCACUGGGCGUAAAGCGCACGUAGGCGGACUCUUAAGUCGGUGGUGAAAUCCUGGAGCUCAACUCCAGAACUGCCUUCGAUACUGGAGAGCUGAGUCCGGGAGAGGUGAGUGGAACUCGAGUGUAGAGGUGAAAGUUCGUAGAUAUUCGGAAGAACACCAGUGGCGGAAGGCGG